CCAUUGGAAGAGUACUGAGCUUUCAGAGGAUUUCAGCUACAACAUUACAACUGAAAAGAAUCGCUGAACAGCAAGGACAGUGAAGGAGUGCUAUAAAAUAAAAACAACAUCAAUAACCCAUUCAUUUUUUGGGGGGUAAGUGUGGUUUUCAAUUAUUGUGUUACGUGUCCUUUCAUUACGAUCAGAGUUUUAGUUUGUGUUUGUAAAAGUGCAAUUUUGUCAGAACAAUCUUCAUUGACAAGGCAAUUAUUGGUCAACUUCCUCUCUAACUCUGUUCCUUGUACUCAGUCAACCAUGUUCUUACCAUCUCAAGUGAAGUUCUUAAUCCAGGUACCAGAACUUUUUACCUUGGUCCUGGAAUAAUUUCAAGAACUCCUUAAAACUGCAAUGCUUUGACCUGAUAGACGAAUUCAAGGCAAUUGUUGCCGGCUUGUCGCAGGAAGUGUGCAACUGUUUUGGCUACAUUUGUUUUAAUGUGACGGUGGUAAGUGUUGUCACUGAUAUUAAUGUUUUUGCUGUGCAUGUGUUGUGGUAAACGUGUAAAAACAGUACAUCUUAAGAUACCAUUCUCAUUUGUAAAUUUGCAAAUUUGGCAGGAAAUCCAUACAUUUACAGUUUUUACACAAACACAUGCACUGUUCUGCAUAUCCAUUUUUUUAUUGAGCUGCCAUAUAUGCCAGGUCUUCAUCAAAAUAGAUGCCUUCUGAUCUUAAUGGGACUUCCUGUAUGAAUAAAUAGUGGUCAAAAUAUUAAUAAAUAACUUUUAAAAUACAACUGUGAAUUAGUCAAAUAUUCAACCCUGGCAACAAUGCUGUACAAAAUGCUGUACAAAAACAGGGACAAAAUCAGACAUUCGUGAUCUCUUUCCACAAUAUUCCAAUUGAUUUUAUGUUUGUCAAUGUCAUUCUGUUUGUAACUAUUUGUCUUUUAUCUUUACAUUCAUCUUGUGUGCCCAUCUCUCUGUGACUACAGACUAAAAAGAAAACUGUUUCAAAAAUGAACGGGAAAGUUUUCAUAGUCCUUCUUCUGAUUGUAGCAUCAGGGAAUGCCCAAAACCCAACAACUAAAGCCCACGCAACAACCACAGUUCCCCCCGCGACCACCACAGCUGGCAUGACGACUAGCACAAUUGUGGUCACAACAACCAAAGCUGCUACAACUACGUCUUCUCCAACUACAACACAGCUAGCGUUACAACAACCCCAGCUCCCCCCGCAACCACCACAGCUGGCAUGACGACUAGCACAAUUGUGGUCACAACAACCACAGGUGCUUCGACUACAACCACAGCUGCUGUAAUAACAACCAAAGCUGCAUCAACUACAACCACAGCUUCUGCCACAACUACGUCUUCUCCAACUACAACCACAGCUAGCGUUACAACAACCACAGCUCCUCUUAAGACAACCACAGCUUCCGCGGCAACAAAUACAACUGCACCCACUUCAACCACAGUCACACAAACAACUCCUAUUCCACCCAUAACCACCACAACCACAGACUCAACAGCAGCACCGACAGCGAAUGAGGGGUCAGUGGGAUUAGGAUUCAGAAUGAUCCGUGCAUUCCUCAAUGAGUAUUCUGACUCUUCCACAUCAGCAUAUCAGGAACUUGCAGCAAAUGUUACCAAAGAGGUGGGUCGUGUUUACAAAAAGGUUCACCCUUUAACAUACUUAAGGUGUAGGGUUAUUCAGUUCACGAAUGGCUCAAUUAUUGCCAAAUUGGCCCUUAUUUUCAAGAACUCGACAGUGGUUCCCAGUGCAUCGACUGUAAGGGACACCAACCACAGCUUCAAGUCUACUCACAAUCUUUCUGGUUGUAUUGUCACACCUGCUUCACCACUAUUGAGACUGAUGACCACAGCGGCAGCGCAACUUGCCAGUCAAUCCAAUUAUAUAACAGUUUUUAAUAGAAGUGUAUAGCAUUAAAUCGUAUUAAUUAUCCAAAUAUGUACAUUGUAAAGAUGAAUUGCUAUGGAGAACAUGACAAUAUUGAACACCUUGAGGAUAAUGUAAAAAUCUGAAUAUGGGUAGCUUUCCUUCUACUUACUGCACUGCCUUGAUUUUUAACAUUUGCUUAUAUGCAAUGCUGUUUUAGAAUUGAGCAUGACCCUUGUUUUGAAUGAAUAAAGGAAACGCUGGU